rnacentral:rRNA from 1 species
CCUACGGGAGGCAGCAGUGAGGAAUAUUGGUCAAUGGGCGCAAGCCUGAACCAGCCAAGUCGCGUGCAGGAAGACGGUCCUAUGGGUUGUAAACUUCUUUUGUACGGGAGUAAAGCGCCCCACGCGUGGCGCUCCGAGAGUACCCGAAGAAUAAGCAUCGGCUAACUCCGUGCCAGCAGCCGCGGUAAUACGGAGGAUGCGGGCGUUAUCCGGAUUUAUUGGGUUUAAAGGGGGCGAAGGCGGAAGGUCAAGCAUGCGGGAAAGUGUAGGGGCUAAACCCCGUCGUGCAGUUGAAACUGGUGUGCUUGAGUGAGCGAGAAGCAUGCGGAAUGCGUGGUGUAGCGGUGAAAUGCAUAGAUAUGACGAAGAACUCCGAUUGCGAAGGCAGCAUACUGCAGCUGAACUGACGCUGAUGCACGAAAGUGUGGGUAUCGAACAGGAUUAGAUACCCGUGUAGUC